AGAACGAACGCUGGCGGCAGGCUUAACACAUGCAAGUCGAGCGCCCAGCAAUGGGAGCGGCGGACGGGUGAGUAACACGUGGGAACAUGCCCUUUGGUACGGGACAACUCAGGGAAACUUGAGCUAAUACCGUAUGAGCCGGUAACGGGAAAGAUUUAUCGCCAAAGGAAUGGCCCGCGUCCGAUUAGCUAGUUGGUGAGGUAAUGGCUCACCAAGGCACCGAUCGGUAGCCGGUUUGAGAGAACGACCAGCCACACUGGGACUGAGACACGGCCCAGACUCCUACGGGAGGCAGCAGUGGGGAAUCUUGGACAAUGGGGGCAACCCUGAUCCAGCCAUGCCGCGUGAGUGAUGAAGGCCUUCGGGUUGUAAAACUCUUUCGACGGGGACGAUAAUGACGGUACCCGUAGAGAAGCUCCGGCUAACUUCGCACCAGCAGCCGC
rnacentral:rRNA from 1 species